rnacentral:rRNA from 1 species
UACGUAGGGGGCAAGCGUUGUCCGGAUUUAUUGGGCGUAAAGAGCGUGUAGGCGGCCAUACAGGUCCGUUGUGAAAACUGGAGGCUUAACCUCCAGACGUCGAUGGAAACCGUAUGGCUAGAGUCCGGAAGAGGAGAGUGGAAUUCCUGGUGGUAGCGGUGAAAUGCGCAGAUAUCAGGAAGAACACCCGUGGCGAAGGCGGCUCUCUGGGGACGGUACUGACGCUGAGACGCGAAAGCGUGGGGAGCGAACAGG